CUCAUCUAUGAUUGGAAGGCAGGGUAGAAGGUAAUGUCACCAUUCAGGCCCCUAUUACACUGAAUGAUAUUGGGGCCAAUUAUUGGGAACAAGUGUAGAAAUGCUUGCUCCCAAUAGAUGACCCAUAUAAUCGUGCUGCUGAUUAGGUGAUAAACAGGCAUCUUUCAUCAGGAUGAGGGAUGUACGAUAAUCGUCAGGACAUGUCUGUGUGUAAUCAGGGAUUUGUAGCGAUCAUUCCUCCCACAUUCACUUUGUACCAGCCUGUGUAAUUGGCCGAUGCAAACGAGCGCCGAUCGUAUCAUUUCCAAGA